UGCAUUCACUACUGUAAGUCGCUCUGGAUAAGAGCAUCUGCUAAAUGGCUACAA
rfam:Salmo salar isolate Sally breed double haploid chromosome ssa23, whole genome shotgun sequence.